GGUGGGGUGGCUGAGUGGCCGAAAGCGCCGCACUCGAAAUGCGGUAUACUCGAAAGGGUAUCGUGAGUUCAAAUCUCACCCCCACCG
rnacentral:tRNA from 1 species